rnacentral:rRNA from 1 species
AACGAACGCUGGCGGCGUGCUUAACACAUGCAAGUCGAACGGGGUUAUACGGAGAAAUUGGUUUCGGCUGAUGGAUUUGUAUAACUUAGUGGCGGACGGGUGAGGAACACGUAGGUAACCAAUCCUGAAGCGGGGGACAACUGCGGGAAACCGGAGCUAAUACCGCAUAAGACCACAGGCUGGGAGGCUGGUGGUAAAAGGAGCAAUUCACUUCAGGCUGGGCCUGCGGCCUAUCAGGUAGUUGGUGGGGUAAGAGCCUACCAAGCCAGAGACGGGUAGCCGGACUGAGAGGUUGAACGGCCACACUGGAACUGAGACACGGUCCAGACUCCUACGGGAGGCAGCAGUGGGGAAUUUUGCGCAAUGGGGGAAACCCUGACGCAGCGACGCCGCGUGGAGGAUGAAGGUUUUCGGAUUGUAAACUUCUUUUGUAGGGGAAAAUAGUGAUGGUACCCUACGAAUAAGCCACGGCUAACUCUGUG